AAAAUACCUUAUUUAAUAAUUCUAUAAAUUUCGCCGAAUUUUUUUUUCGCUUUGUUCCUCCAUUUUAAAAACAAAUCCCCUCAAACUAUACUUAUAAACACAUAUAUAUCCAACCCACAAAAUCAAGGAACGGACUUGAAACAAAAUGGCUGCUAGCGUGUGCGUCUCGUAUUUAUCUGUCCGUUAAAAAAGUAUUAAAAACCUAAAAAAGUGAUCGAAGCUUUAAAACCCAAACAGGUGUGGUGAAUUAAUAUGGAAGUCAGGCAAUGUCAACUGUGAUUCAUAAAAAAAAAGCCAUACCACGUUUAGAAUAAUAAAUUCCCACCUUGGGUUAACUUUCUUGUCCGUGACAUACAAGUGUGUUCUUAUCCUCCAGCUGAAGUAUUUUAUUUAAUAAUUAUUUAAAAACAUUUUAGUGAGUGCUUAAAAAAUUAAUCAAGUGUCAAAAAAUUCCUU